rnacentral:rRNA from 1 species
AUUGAACGCUGGCGGCAGGCCUAACACAUGCAAGUCGAGCGGAUGAAGGGUGCUUGCUCCUGGAUUCAGCGGCGGACGGGUGUGUAAUGCCUAGGAAUCUGCCUGGUAGUGGGGUAUAACGUCCGUACACGGGCGCUAAUACCGCAUACGUCCUGAGGGUGAAAGUGGGGGUUCUUCGGUCCUCACGCUUUCUGAUGUGCCUAGGUCGGAUUAGCUAGUUGGUGUGGUAAAGGCCUACCAUGGCGACGAUCCGUAACUGGUCUGAGAGGAUGAUCAGUCACACUGGAACGGAGACACGGACCAGAGUACUACGGGAGGCAGCAGAGGGGAAUAUUGGACAAUGGGCGAAAGCCUGAUCCAGCCAAGCCGAGUGUGUGAAGAAGGUCUUCGGAUUGUAAAGCACUUUAAGGUGGGAGGAAGGGAAGUAGGUUAAAACCUUGCUGUUUUGACGUUAACAACAGAAUAAGCACCGGCUAACUACGUG